rnacentral:lncRNA from 13 species
AUGCAGGAAGGAGAGCUGAGGCAGCACGCGAAUGAGGAGCUGUCCUCCCCAGGAUCCAAAGCUGUGUGCCCAAAUGCAUGGGACAGCUGCCAGCCAAGGCUGACACAAUCACCCAGACAGACGGGCCCUCCAAAGGCACCUACACGGCCACGCUCAGCCCUGUACCCCGAACGGGGUGGAGCCAUCCCAACACAAUCAAGUCCCUCAAUUUCCUUUAACUCCCCUACACACGAUCAGGAAGCAACCGUUAGACCUGAAAGACUGACACCAAGCAUUCUAUCGGCAGAAGCUCCACACCCGGACUCCGUUUAUUACGGAAGACACGGAGCACUUUGUUUAAGCCAGCAGCAACUUUGCUCCGCGAUGUUUUGCUUCAUGCAAAGACCCAAAGACCCCCACAAAUCGCACUGGAUUAUUCUAAAGCUGUGGCCUCCCAACUGCACCCAUCCCUCGUCCCGCAAUCGCCGCUCUACGCACAGACCGCAUUUCCCGCCUCCUCAUGGAAUACAACCCCGAAGCACGGCGGGGGAGGGGGAGGCGGAAUUAGAAGAAAGUAAUGAAAAACCCUCCAAAAACACGACCGAAAGGGCGAGAACAGAGGGCGUGUGCGGGUGGCCGGGCAGUAGCGAGAGCUCCCGGCGGCAGCCGCCGCAUCUCCCACGCCCCCCAGCCUGGCGGAGCCUCCCGGCUGCGGAGCCUCCCAUGUGCGCUGCCCAGGCCGCGCCGCCGGGGCCUCCCCCGCCGCCGGGGGCCGGGGCACGUGCGGCGGACACGGCGCCGCAGCCCGGGGGUCACUUACAUAAGGGACGGGCGGCCGGGCCCGCCCGAGGCCCCCGCGGGCCCGCGCUGCGCCAGCAGUGGUGCCGGCCUAUGCGGCUCGGGAGCGCCCAGUACCCGCUGGUACGGGGGAGAAGGAAGAAAGGGAGGAACGAAGGCAAACGGGCGGGCGGGGGUCGCCGCCGCCACCUCCGCCGCCUCCUCCUGUCCGCGCCGCUGCCCCCAGCCCAGCCCAGCCCAGCCGAGCCCGCGCUCCUGGUACGUGCCGGUGCCGGUGCCAUCUCCCUCCCGCAGCGGCGACAACGACACGACACGGCCCGGCCCGGCCCGGCGCGCCCGCGCACCCACCUCGCUCGCUCACCCGCCGCGCGGGGGGCGGGACGGGAUGGGGGGGGGGCAGGCAGAGUUCUCGCGAGACCCGCCGUGAGCCUCCGCGGGAAUUUUCAAAUGCGCGGGACGCGGCCCUGGGCUGUGGCGGCGGCCGCCUCCAACUACGAAUCCCGGCGAUCCGCGCGCUACCCGCUUCCGGUCCCGCCCCGUCGACUGCUGUCUCUCGCGGGGUACGCCGGGAGCUGUAGUUCCCGGGCCGCCAGAACCAGCGCUCUGCAGAGCCCGUUCCUGCCCCCGCCCCGGACCUCGUGGGCACGGCUCUGCUCCCCUGCCCCGCCAAGGGGGAACUCCCUGGCAGGGAGAAAGCUGGCCCUGCCUACCUGUGUCCAUCUCACCGCAGGAGCCGCUCACCCCCUUCUCCCCUUUCCUCCCAGUCUAUCUGGAUUUAAUUGA